rnacentral:rRNA from 1 species
CAGAAUUUCCACAACUGUAUCUCCUUCUGAUGUGAUCCUAUAAGAUCUCACAAGCUAAAUAAGGUCCGGAGCUAGUACUUGGAUGGGAGACCUCCAAAGAAGAUCUAGGAAUUCAGA